GUGGGGAAUUGUUCGCAAUGGGCGCAAGCCUGACGACGCAACGCCGCGUGGAGGACGAAGAUCUUCGGGUCGUAAACUCCUUUCGAUCGGGAAGAAUGGCUUCCGGGUUAACAGCCCGGAGGAAUGACGGUACCGAGAGAAGAAGCCCCGGCUAACUCUGUGCCACCAGCCGCGGUAAUACAGGGGGGGCAAGCGUUGUUCGGAAUUACUGGGCGUAAAGGGCUCGUGGGCGGCCAACUAAGUCCGACGUGAAAUCCCAAAGCUUAACUUUGGAACUGCGUCGGAUACUGGAUGGCUUGAAUUCGGGAGAGGGAUGCAGAAUUCCAGGUGUAGCGGUGAAAUGCGUAGAUAUCUGGAGGAAUACCGGUGGCGAAGGCGGCAUCCUGGACCGACAUUGACGCUGAGGAGCGAAAGCUAGGGGAGCAAA
rnacentral:rRNA from 1 species